UCCAUCUUUGCUUUUGCAGGGCUUAUUAAGUUGUGCUUUGCAUCGCAAUGAAGAUUGGUGACACCAACAUGCUCCUAGAACUACAUCAAUGUUAUUUAUGAGUAGUUCUUCUAUUUAUAAGCUUACACGAUUAGAUCCAUGUAUUCUUCUUGUCC